rnacentral:rRNA from 1 species
AUUGAACGCUGGCGGCAGGCCUAAUACAUGCAAGUCGAGCGAGCGGCGGACGGGUAAGUAAUGUAUGGGGACUGCCCGCUAGAGGGGGAUAACUACUGGAAACGGUGGCUAAUACCGCAUACUAUCGGAUAACCCAUAUGGGAUUAGCUAGUAGGUGGGGUAAAGGCUCACCUAGGCGACGAUCUCUAGCUGGUCUGAGAGGAUGAUCAGCCACACUGGGACUGGGACAGGGCCCAGACUCCUACGGAGGCAGCAGUGGGGAAUAUUGGUAAAUGGGCGCAAGCCUGAUUGAGCCAUGCCGCGUGUAUGAAGAAGGCCUUAGGGUUGUAAAGGACUUUCAGCGGGGAGGCGUUACCCGCAGAGGAAGCACCGGCUAACUCCGUGCCAGCAGCCGCGGUAAUAC